rnacentral:rRNA from 1 species
AGAGUUUGAUCCUGGCUCAGGAUGAACGCUGGCGGCGUGCUUAACACAUGCAAGUCGAACGAUGAUGCCAGCUUGCUGGUGGAUUAGUGGCGAACGGGUGAGUAACACGUGAGUAACCUGCCCUUAACUCUGGGAUAAGCCUGGGAAACUGGGUCUAAUACUGGAUACGACCUUCCCACGCAUGUGGUGUUGGUGGAAAGCUUUUGUGGUUUUGGAUGGACUCGCGGCCUAUCAGCUUGUUGGUGGGGUAAUGGCCUACCAAGGCGACGACGGGUAGCCGGCCUGAGAGGGUGGACGGCCACACUGGGACUGAGACACGGCCCAGACUCCUACGGGAGGCAGCAGUGGGGAAUAUUGCACAAUGGGCGCAAGCCUGAUGCAGCGACGCCGCGUGAGGGAUGAAGGCCUUCGGGUUGUAAACCUCUUUCAGUAGGGAAGAAGCGAAAGUGACGGUACCUGCAGAAGAAGCGCCGGCUAACUACGUGCCAGCAGCCGCGGUAAUACGUAGGGCGCAAGCGUUAUCCGGAAUUAUUGGGCGUAAAGAGCUCGUAGGCGGUUUGUCGCGUCUGCCGUGAAAGUCCGGGGCUUAACUCCGGAUCUGCGGUGGGUACGGGCAGACUUGAGUGAUGUAGGGGAGACUGGAAUUCCUGGUGUAGCGGUGAAAUGCGCAGAUAUCAGGAGGAACACCGAUGGCGAAGGCAGGUCUCUGGGCAUUAACUGACGCUGAGGAGCGAAAGCAUGGGGAGCAAACAGGAUUAGAUACCCCGGUAGUCC